GAUGAACGCUAGCUACAGGCUUAACACAUGCAAGUCGAGGGGAAACGGCAUCGAAAGCUUGCUUUUGAUGGGCGUCGACCGGCGCACGGGUGAGUAACGCGUAUCCAACCUGCCCAUCACUUGGGAAUAACCUUGCGAAAGUAAGACUAAUGCCCAAUGACAUCCCACGAAGGCAUCCGAAUGGGAUUAAAGAUUUAUCGGUGAUGGAUGGGGAUGCGUCUGAUUAGCUUGUUGGCGGGGUGACGGCCCACCAAGGCAACGAUCAGUAGGGGUUCUGAGAGGCAGGUCCCCCACAUUGGAACUGAGACACAGUCCAAACUCCUACGGGAGGCAGCAGUGAGGAAUAUUGGUCAAUGGGCGAGAGCCUGAACCAGCCAAGUAGCGUGCAGGAUGACGGCCCUAUGGGUUGUAAACUGCUUUUAUAAGGGAAUAAAGUGGGUAACGUGUGACUUUUUGCAUGUACCUUAUGAAUAAGGACCGGCUAAUUCCGUG
rnacentral:rRNA from 1 species